UGGUUUUCGCCGUGUGUUGUGA
rnacentral:siRNA from 1 species